UGUUUCGGCUAGGGGGUCAUCCCGACUUACCAACCCGAUGCAAACUACGAAUACCGAAGAAUGUUAUCACGGGAGACACACGGCGGGUGCUAACGUCCGUCGUGAAGAGGGAAACAACCCAGACCGCCAGCUAAGGUCCCAAAGUCAUGGUUAAGUGGGAAACGAUGUGGGAAGGCACAGACAGCCAGGAUGUUGGCUUAGAAGCAGCCAUCAUUUAAAGAAAGCGUAAUAGCUCACUGGUCGAGUCGGCCUGCGCGGAAGAUGUAACGGGGCUAAACCAUGCACCGAAGCUGCGGCAGCGACACUAUGUGUUGUUGGGUAGGGGAGCGUUCUGUAAGCCUGCGAAGGUGUGCUGUGAGGCAUGCUGGAGGUAUCAGAAGUGCGAAUGCUGACAUAAGUAACGAUAAAGCGGGUGAAAAGCCCGCUCGCCGGAAGACCAAGGGUUCCUGUCCAACGUUAAUCGGGGCAGGGUGAGUCGACCCCUAAGGCGAGGCCGAAAGGCGUAGUCGAUGGGAAACAGGUUAAUAUUCCUGUACUUGGUGUUACUGCGAAGGGGGGACGGAGAAGGCUAUGUUAGCCGGGCGACGGUUGUCCCGGUUUAAGCAUGUAGGCUGGUUGUCCAGGCAAAUCCGGAUAAUCAAGGCUGAGGUGUGAUGACGAGGCACUACGGUGCUGAAGUAACAAAUGCCCUGCUUCCAGGAAAAGCCUCUAAGCAUCAGGUAACAUCAAAU
rnacentral:rRNA from 1 species